rnacentral:rRNA from 1 species
AUGGUGACCGCUAGCAAUACUGAUGGGUAUGGUAAUUUACCUAUUGUGCUUUCAGUAUUUCAAUCAUCUUCGUGGUGGAUUGAUUCGGGUGCUAACGUUCAUGUGUGUGCUGACAUCUCCCUGUUUACUUCUUAUCAGGUCGCAAGGGAUUCUUCCGUCCUAAUGGGGAAUGGGUCACAUGCUUCUGUUCGUGGCAUUGGCACGGUGGAUCUGAAGUUUACUUCGGGAAAGAUCGUGCAACUAAGGAACGUGCAGCAUGUCCCUACUAUGAACAAGAAUCUAGUUAGCGGCUCCCUUCUAUGUCGAGAUGGAUUUAAGGUAGUUUUAGAGUCCAAUAAAGUAAUCGUGUCAAGAUUUGGACAAUUUAUAGGAAAAGGCUAUGAGUGCGGAGGCUUGUUCCGCUUUUCUCUUUCAGAUUUUUGCAAUAAGUCAAUAAACCAAAUUUGUGCUAGUGUUAACGAUGAUGCAAGUAUUUGGCACUCUCGUUUAUGUCAUAUUAAUUUUGGUUUAAUGUCUCGGCUAUCCAGCAUGAGUUUAAUUCCGAACUUCAGAGUUGCCAAAGGUUCUAAGUGCCAUAGUUGUGUGCAAACUAAGCAACCUCGAAAGCCUCAUAAGGCUGCCGAGGAGAGAAACUUGGCACCUCUAGAACUCAUACAUUCUGAUCUUUGUGAGAUGAAUGGUGUGUUGACAAAAGGUGGAAAGAGAUAUUUCAUGACUUUGAUUGAUGAUGCGACUAGAUUUUGCUAUGUUUAUUUGUUGUAA